GGAUAUAGCUCAGUGGUAGAGCAAUCGACUUUUAAUCGAUUGAACGGAGGUUCGACUCCUCCUAUCC
rnacentral:tRNA from 1 species